UACGUAGGGUGCAAGCGUUAAUCGGAAUUACUGGGCGUAAAGCGUGCGCAGGCGGUCCGCUAAGACAGAUGUGAAAUCCCCGGGCUUAACCUGGGAACUGCAUUUGUGACUGUAGAGCUGGAGUGCGGCAGAGGGGGAUGGAAUUCCGCGUGUAGCAGUGAAAUGCGUAGAUAUGCGGAGGAACACCGAUGGCGAAGGCAAUCCCCUGGGCCUGCACUGACGCUCAUGCACGAAAGCGUGGGGAGCAAACAGG
rnacentral:rRNA from 1 species